GAGUCUGAAAUGGAGCCUGCUGAGUGUCGAGCUGCGAUCUGGUUUUUCUAUGGCCUUGUUGGGUUUAUUGAUGGAGCAUCAUCACCCCUCCUCUGACUUCUGAUCUCCUGAUCCUGAAACCUGAGCACCGACUCUGGCUUCACCCUCUGGAUUAUCCUUCCAGCUGACCAGCUGGAAUCAACCACGUUCUCUGGGCACAGACAGAACUAUUAAACCAGAGGUUCCUGUCUGAGGUUUAAUAAACGCAUUUUCAGUGAUCAUACUGUCUCUCUGCCUUGAAUGCUGGGUCCAGCUUGAUUUAGAAAGUAAAGAAGAUGGAGAGGUAAGAAGACAGAGAAGACUGAUAGACCAGAUUACACUAAUAAACACUAUUCAUUGAUUAAUUUGAUUAUUCUUUGGAAAUAAUAACAUUAU